rnacentral:rRNA from 1 species
AUUGAACGCUGGCGGCAGGCCUAACACAUGCAAGUCGAGCGAGCGGCGGACGGGUGAGUAAUGUAUGGGGACUGCCCGAUAGAGGGGGAUAACUACUGGAAACGGUAGCUAAUACAGCAUAUAACCGGAUCACCCAUAUUGGAUUAGCUAGUAGGUGAGGUAAUGGCACACCUAGGCGACGAUCCCGAGCUGUUCUGAGAGGAUGAUCAGCCACACCGGGACUGAGACACGGCCCAGACUCCUACGGAGGCAGCAGUGGGGAAUAUUGCACAAUGGGCGCAAGCCUGAUGCAGCCAUGCCGCGUGUGUGAAGAAGGCCCUCGGUUUGUAAAGGACUUUCAGUCGGGAGGCGUUACCGACAGAAGAAGCACCGGCUAACUCCGUGCCAGCAGCCGCGGUAAUUC